UUGAUGCUCUUGGGAAUCCAGCAGCUGUCACCAUUAAACAAGCCCAGGCUAGACCAGUUACCCUCAUCAUCUUAGCUAUCAGGCAUGAGUCAGGCCAUAGUGCUGGACCCACAGAAUUAUGAGCUAAAUAAGUAGUGUUGGGUUAAGUCACUAAGUUUUAGGCAUAGUGUGUUAUGUAGCUCACAAACAUAUAAGACUGUGUGUUUUUUGACUGGAGGAAGAGAUGCCAUAAAGACCACCUUUUGAAACUUCUCAAAUACUGCCAUUGAUGUGCUGAUGGAGGGCUGUACUAAUCCUCCCGCCUCAGACUCCCUAAGUGCUGAGAUGUUGCAGGAAGUCAGGGACCCCAAACAGAGGGACUGGCUGGAGCCGUGGCAGAGGAACAUGAAUCGUGAAGAUUUCUUUUUAAUAUGGACAUUUGUCAGUUCCCAAAUAAUACUUUUAUAAUUUUAUAUGCCUGUCUUUACUUUAAUCUCUUAAUCCUGUUAUCUUCAUAAGCUAAGGAUGUAUGUCACCUCAGGACCACUGUGAUAAUUGUGUUAACUGUACAAAUUGAUUGUAAAACAUGUGUGUUUGAACAAUAUGAACUCAGUACACCUUGAAAAAGAGCAGAAUAACAGCAAUUUUUAGGGAACAAGGGAAGACAACCAUAAAGUCUGACUGCCUGUGGGAUCAGGCAAAAAGAGCCAUAUUUUUCUUCUUGCAGAGAGCCUAUAAAUGGACGUGCAAGUAGGAGAGAUAUCACUAAAUUCUUUUCCUAGCAAGGAAUAUUAAUAUCAAUACCCUGGGAAAGGAAUGCAUUCCUGCGGGGAGGUCUAUAAACUGCCACUCUGGGAACGUCUGUCUUAUGCAGUUGAGAUAAGGACUGAGAUACACCCUGGUCUCCUGCAGUACCCUCAGGCUUAUUAGGGUGGGGAAAAACUCUGCCCUGGUAAAUUUGUGGUCAGACCAGUUCUCUGCUAUUGAACUUUGUUUUCUGUUGUUUAAGAUGUUUAUCAAGACAAUACAUGCACCGCUGAACACAGACCCUUAUCAGUAAUUCUCCUUUUUGCCCUUUGAAGUAUGUGACUACUCCCUGUUCUUAGACUCCCUCCCCUUUUGAAAUCCUUAAUAAAAAACUUGCUGGUUUGAG